CCUUGUAGAAUGCCCCGAAUAAUUCCGGAUGUUCUGGAGGCAAAGGGGGGCCAACCRGGUACUAGAUGGGUGUACCAAUUAAACUAUUCGGUAAGUGUAUAUUCAUGUAACUGUGGUUCUCUAUUAGCGAAUGGGCUGGCCUUAUCUGCUUUGCUGAAAAAAUAGCUGCUUGGCGCAGACAUCAACAAAGGACCCCCAGACAGAGGACAAACGGUUGCAGCCCUCCACACCAGAAAAGAUGAGUCUCUUCGGUGUAAGAAUGUCUCACUGUAUCUCUCAUUUCCAAGCUACAUGGAGUUAUUUGGAGCAAGGUCUGACCCAAAUCUAUCUUUUAUGUGCAGUACUCUCUCAGUGCUUAGAGAUCCACACUAGAUGAGGACAACAGAAUCUCUCUCUACUCGUUGUCACCUUCAGAAGUUCCUACUGUCACCCUGGAAGCUGACUCGUAAAAUCGCAAAGAUCCCAUUCAAGGUCUUGGAUGCUCCAGAACUACAGGAUGACUUCUACCUCAACCUUGUGGACUGGUAACUCGUCUGUGUGAUUUAGCAGUGGAGGGAGAUUCUGUUACAUCAGUGGGCUGGUCAGAGGGCAAUCAUGUGGCAGUCGGGACUCACAAAGGCUACGUACAGAUCUGGGAUGCAGCAGCUGGCAAAAAGCUUUUUACACUAGAGGGACACUGCUAGAGUUGGUGCACUGGCAUGGAACGCAGACCAGUUGCCGUCAGGGAGUCGAGACCUUAUGAUCCUGCAGAUGAUUCGCACAUCACCUCUCCAGUCUGAGCGCCGGUUGCAGGGUCACCUGCAGGAGGUGUGUGUGGUCUGAAGUGGAGUACAGAGAGCCAUAGCCGCGGGAAGUAGUGGUGCUGAGGGUGCCGCAGCACCCACUGAUAAAUCGAAAUAAAUACAAUUAUAAACAUUUAAAAAGGAAUAGACUAAUGAUGGAAUGCCUUGAAUUCAUCACAGGACAUUCGUCAACAUAAUGCAAAAUAAUGACCCAACAUGGACACGGCAUCUUGUCAUAGAGGAUGGAGGAGCAAAGAACUGUGUUUACUUUGUCACUCGGAAACAAUUGAAACUGGAACAUUAACAGAUUAUUACAUUUUUUAUUGUCAUCAACAAUGUUUUUAUUAGAUUUUUURCCCUAUUCUUGUCUAGUUCAAUUUACAGUUUUGAUUUUUGUAUUCCAUGUCUAUGAUGAAAAUAUGUGUUAAAGGAGGGUUAAGAUCUAAACUUUGAGUUGAUGAUGUUACAGUCAGGUCUUAUUUAUUUGCCAUUUAAAAAUAUAUGUUUUAUUGUUGUAUAGACUUGGGCAAGAUGCAUAAUAUAAUGGGACAAUCAUGGAAGUCCAGUUUCUUUACUUUUCGAAUGAAAAAAUGUAUAGUAAACAUGUGAAAGCACUACAUUGAAUAUAGUAUGGCGGAGAAAACAAAACUAAGUAAAAUGUGGGGAAUUAACAGAAAAUGUAUGCCACUCAAGAAUAAGAAAUAAGAGUAUUGGCAAAA